rnacentral:lncRNA from 1 species
AUUCGGCAAAAGCACUACUUGCAAAGGGUGUGAGAAUAUACAUGUGUAUAAUUUUUCUAUUCUUUUUGCACCUCAUGCUAGAGAUUAAUAUUUUUUUAUGGUUAUAUUUAGGUUUUUUUUAUUAUUUAUUUAUUUUUUCAAUUACAGUAACGGUGUUGACUUUUAUAAUAUUAUUGUGUUAGUAAAAAUAAUGCAUAGCUUCUAUUUAGUUAGUUUUCAGUGCAUUGUGAAUUCGGAGCAUAAAUUUAAUUUUGUUUCCGAACAUGUUUAGAUGCAUAGAGUUUAUUGACCAACCUCAGAUAGGGUGAUUCCUACAUGAAUCGCUUUAUGAUUACUUAACAUGGGGCUAAAAUCAUUUUAGUUUUAUUUUUGAUUUUUUAUUUCGAGUCCCUUGGCUUUCUCUUGGGCCUUCUUACAACGAGAUUCUUUUAUUUUUUCAAUUGUCUUUCAAAACUUAUAUCAUUUAAUUAUCAC